rnacentral:lncRNA from 1 species
CAACACUGACUAGUCAAGAUUAAAGGGGACAAGUGUUAUCGGUCAAGUUUGGACAGGCGUUCACAUUAGGACCUUCAACUGGGUCCAAUUGAAUUCCGAUGGGUUUAAAUGUAAGGCCCAAAACAUCACAUCCUUUUUUGGAGUGGUACGCACAAAGAUGCAGACUCUUAAUGGGCUUGAAGUUAAACCCAAGCAAUAUGAAGUUCAAGGAUGAUUUGAUCUUGGGUCAAACAGGCGGACUCAGUCAGGCUCACGACCAGGCCCAUUAGCUUUUAAGAAGACAAGGCUCAAUAAUUCAAGGAGAAAUCAAUUCAUUCAAAAACUAACAUGAUUCAAAUUACUGAGAUCAUAGUAGAGAUGUUAAUUCUAAUUUAUUGACUAAUUACAAUAAUUGAUGAACAACCAAGUCACUUUAAACUCAUUUCCAACUUAAUACAUACAGGGCAUUCAACUUACAAAGAGCAACCUUCAAAUUCUAAAAUAAGUGCAUUAAAACAAUAUGCGAUUGAAUCCCUCCUUGUUUUUCCUCAAAUUGCCAGAUUCCAUACACAUGCUAAUCAGAAUAUCAAGACAUGAAAUAAGCACCUCCUUCUAGCUUCAUUUUAACCUGAAAAUAUCAACUCCAAUCUUGUUUCUAACUAGAUGAACAAACCGUGUUUCAAUAUGUUGUAUACACUCUAUAGUACAGCAGGAACAACAUUAGCAUGCCUUGGUAGAAUAAAUGAUUAUCAGUAACCUCCAGACCAAUUUAUGAGCAGCUUCAGUCUAAAUUUCAGUUAGAUAAACAAAACAAAACAGAGGAUUGAGGCUAACAAAGCAUGUAGAUAAACAGACUUGGCAAACAAACAAAAUCAUGGAGGAAAUUAAACACAUAUGGCAACAAUAAUUCAAGCUUCGUUGCAAACCAACAGAAACUCAAAACAACAAUCGACACAUGGUCUGUUGAUACUGACCCAUGUAAAUUUAUACAUUCAUAACUUCAGAGACUAACAAGGAGAAAGGUUCAAACAAAUUCAGCCAUUAAACAUGCUAGAUCUGUAUAUUUAGGCAGUAAACAACCUCAAUUUUAUUCAUGAAUUCAAUAUAAAGCCACAAAGGUGUUUGAACAUACCUACACAGCAGCAAAGAAGUCUUAAAAUAGACAAAUAAAGGCCGAGGACAGCUACAACUGAAGCUCAACUAAUUAGGUGACAGAGAACAUCAGCAAGAAGCAGAAAAUCCAAGUUGAAUCCAAUUUUGAAAGCCAGAAUUGAAAGAAAAAACUACAACUCUCUAAAUUGCUAUAGUUUAUGAAUUUUUUUUAGUAUUUCCAGAUCUCAAGUUUUUGAGUUUUCGUUUUCUAAUUUCAGGCUGCUAUUGUGUGUGUAGCGAAGGAAGGUGAGGUCUUACACAGGAAAAGGGUGAGGGAAUAAUUCUAAUGAAUGCAGCCCCUGAGAUUUAGGGAAAAAACAUCUUUAUAACAGAAAAUGGACAACUGUUAGGACAACUGUCCAUUCAGAUAUUUACUCACAUUUUUCCAACCCUUUUACUUCUGAAAUUAGCCCUUUUUACCCCCAUUUAAACGUAUUUUUUCUUGUCUUUUGCAUUAUAAUCCCUUCUAGAAACUUCUUGAACAAACACCUAAGACUCCCUGAUUUCCCAAAUUCCUCUGACCCCUUUAACUUUUGUUAAUUACAAACAACUACCAUAAGGAAAUUAUUCAGAUUCAAAUAAGGAAAGAAAGGGAACAGUAGCACAAAUAUUGAAAUCUUUAACUAACAAUCCACUUAAUUCAAAAUUGAUUUAAACGAAUUCAAACUAAUGCAAUUAGAUUCAGUUUUUGCUUAACCAAACCAUUAAUCAAAACUAACUAGACGUGCUCUUAGCUAACCUAAAAACUCAUCUACGACAAUUAAUGCGAUCAAAUAACAAACAACAAACGAUUAUAAUCAAACUAAACAAAACGGUCAAUUUGUGCCAAACAAACAAAUCUAUUUUCCUAAAAACUAAGACUAACCAAUAAUCACAUAUUGAAACUAGAUGAGUGGGAGAAGAAAGAGAUUACCUAACAAAAACAGAACAACGACAAAGAACUCCGGUCCGGACUCUGGUGGCUUCGAAAUGAGCUAAAAUCAACAUCAAUCGAUUGUUCUUGUUAAGAACGAUCGACUGAUAUAGGCCUUAGGUCAAGACACGCGAAAGUUGCCGGCGGGACAGAAAAGGGCAAAAGUUAGGGUUCAGACAUUUCUCAAAUUCAAAAUUCAAGAGAUUUAGGUGGUUUUAUAGUGAAAUUACACGGAGAUAUGAGGUGAGGGGGAGGUGGUGGUUGUCUGGUGAAGUUUUGGGGUGGUUUGGGGUGUCGCCGCCGCCGUAGGCAAUUUUCGGUGGGCCGCGAAGGCAGUGGUUAAGAGAGAGGAGUUGAGAGAGGAGUUGAGAGAGGAGGGAGGUAGGUUUUGGGGAGUCUCUAGGGUUUGGCUGGGGUGGGGGGGAAUUUUGGACAUUUUUACGGGUG